rnacentral:rRNA from 1 species
AAUCUUCGGCACUGGACGAAAGUCUGACCGAGCAACGCCGCGUGAGUGAAGAAGGUUUUCGGAUCGUAAAACUCUGUUGUUAGAGAAGAAUGUUGAUUAGAGUGGAAAAUUAAUCAAGUGACGGUAUCUAACCAGAAAGGGACGGCUAACUACGUGCCAGCAGCCGCGGUAAUACGUAGGUCCCGAGCGGUGUCCGGAUUUAUUGGGCGGAAAGCGAGCGCAGGUGGUUUAAUAAGUCUGAUGUAAAAGGCAGUGGCUCAACCAUUGUGUGCAUUGGAAUCGGUUAGACUUGAGUGCAGUAGAGGAGAGUGGAAUUCCAUGUGUAGCGGUGAAAUGCGUAGAUAUAUGGAGGAACACCGGUGGCGAAAGCGGCUCUCUGGACUGUCACUGACACUGAGGCUCGAAAGCGUAGGUAGCAAACAGG